GACGAACGCUGGCGGUGUGCUUCACACAUGCAAGUCGAACGAGGUAGCAAUACCUAGUGGCGGACGGGUGAGUAACGCGUGGGAAUCUGCCUUUAGAUGGGGGAUAACGGGUCGAAAGACUCGCUAAUACCGCAUAUGACGAAAGUUGAAAGGAGUAAUCCGUCUAAAGAUGAGCCCGCGUCCGAUUAGCUAGUUGGUAGGGUAACGGCCUACCAAGGCCACGAUCGGUAGCUGGUCUGAGAGGAUGAUCAGCCACACUGGGACUGAGACACGGCCCAGACUCCUACGGAGGCAGCAGUGGGAAUAUUGGACAAUGGGCGCAAGCCUGAUCCAGCAAUGCCGCGUGUGUGAAGAAGGCCUGCGGGUUGUAAAGCACGUUUCAGUGGGGAAGAACGGAUACGGGCCAAUACCCCGCAUCACUGACGUUACCCACAGAAGAAGCACCGGCUAACUCCGUGCCAGCAGCCGCGGUAAU
rnacentral:rRNA from 1 species